UACGUAGGGACCAAGCGUUGUUCGGAUUUACUGGGCGUAAAGGGCGCGUAGGCGGCAAUUCAAGUCAUCCGUGAAAUCUCCGAGCUUAACUCGGAACGGUCAGAUGAUACUGCUUUGCUAGAGUGCAGAAGGGGCAACCGGAAUUCUUGGUGUAGCGGUGAAAUGCGUAGAUAUCAAGAGGAACACCGGAGGUGAAGACGGGUUGCUGGGCUGACACUGACGCUGAGGCGCGAAAGCGUGGGGAGCAAACAGG
rnacentral:rRNA from 1 species